AGGGUUUUUUGGGGACAGAUAUGUUCUACUUUCAUAAUGCCCCUACAAAUCCCUAU
rnacentral:pre_miRNA from 1 species